rnacentral:rRNA from 1 species
GUUCGGUCUGGCUCGUUGAACGCUGGCAGGAUGCUUUACACAUGCAAGUCAGAACGGCAACUGGGACUUCGGUCUGGUGGCGAGUGGCGAACGGGUGAGUAAUGUAUCGGAACGUGCCUAGUAGCGGGGGAUAACUACGCGGCGUAGCUAAUGCCGCAUACGCCCUUCGGGGGGAAAGCGGGGACCUUCGGGCCUCGCACUAUUAGAGCGGCCGAUAUCAGAUUAGCUAGGUUGGUGAGGUAACGGCUCACCAAGGCGACGAUCCGUAGCUGGUUUGAGAGGGACGACCAGCCACACUGGGACUGAGACACGGCCCCGAACUCACAAGGAGGCGGCAGUGGGAAUUUUGGACAAUGGGGCAACCCUGAAUCCAGCCAUCCCGCGUGCGCGAUGAAGGCCUUCGGGUUGUAAGCACUUUUGGCAGGAAAGAAACGCUUUGGGAUAAUACCCGUGCAACUGACAGUACCUGCAGAAUAAGCACCGGCUAACUACGUGCCAGCAGCCGCGGUAAUACGUAGGGUGCAAGCGUUAAUCGGAAUUACUGGGCGUAAAGCGUGCGCGAGCGGUUCGGAAGAAAGAUGUGAAAUCCCAGAGCUUAACUUUGGAACUGCAUUUUUAACUACCGAGCUAGAGUGUGUCAGAGGGAGGUGAAAUUCCGCGUGUAGCAGUGAAAUGCGUAGAUAUGCGGAGAACACCGAUGGCGAAGGCAGCCUCCUGGGAUAACACUGACGCUCAUAAGAAAGCGUGGGAGCAAACAGGAUUAGAUACCCUGGUAGUCCACGCCUAAACGAUGUCAACUAGCUGUUGGGGCCUUCGGGCCUUGUUAGCGCAGCCAAAAAACGAAGUUGACCGCCUGGGGAAGUACGGUCGCAAGAUUAAAACUCAAAGGAAUUAGGCGGGGACCCGCACAAGCGGUGGAUGAUGUGGAUUAAUUCGAUGCGAAAAACCUUACCUACCCUUGACGUAUCUAGAAUCCGAAGAGAUUUGGGAGUGCUCGCAAGAGAACCGGAACACAGUGCUGCAUGGCUCGUCAGCUCGUGUCGUGAGAUGUUGGGUUAAGUCCCGCAACGAGCGCAACCCUUGUCAUUGCGUUGCUACGAAAGGGCACUCUAAUGGACUGCCGGUGACAAACCGGAGGAAGGGUGGGGAUGACGUCAAGUCCUCAUGGCCCUUAUGGGUAGGGCUUCACACGUCAUACAAUGGUCGGGACAGAGGUCGCCAACCCGCGAGGGAGCCAAUCCAGAAACCCGAUCGUAGUCCGGAUCACCGGUCUGCAAACUCGACUGCGUGAAAUUCGAAUCGCUGGUAAUCGCGGAUCAGCAUGUCUCGGUGAAUACGUUCCCGGGUCUUGUACACCGCCCGUCACACCAUGGGAGCGGGUUUUACCAGAAGUAGUUAGCCUAACCGUAAGGAGGGCGAUUACCACAUUAGGAUUCAUGACUGGGGUGAAGUCGUAACAAGGUAA